rnacentral:sRNA from 1 species
UAUGUUCUUGGCAAUUGGCUCAUACAGGCUCUGACUUACUCAUCAGGGUAAUGCAAUGUUGGGUUUGGAAUUUGAUGGCACUCUUGGGAGGUAAUAGAAACUAGGGAGUGGGGCCUGCUUGAAGGAACUGGCUUACUGGAAGGGAAUAUCUUGUCCUUGGCUCCCUCCUGAUGGUUUUCUCUGCCUUCCAUUUGUCAUGGGUAAGCAGUUUUGUUCUUUCAUAUGUUAGCAUGUUCUGCUUCAUGGUGCAGGAGGCCAGGAGCAAGGGACCCCAGUGACCAUGAGCCCGAACACCUUUGCUGCUUUUCAAUAGUUUCUCUCACGUGCUUUGCUACAGUAACAAACUCAGCCCCCGCCAUCUCAGUUCCUGACUCUUUACGAAGACACUGGAUUUUAUCACACUAGAAAGUUGGAAGGCUGCGUGCGGUACAAUAUCAAGUGCUCCAUAUUUAUUAGAUACUCUUCCCUUCAGGCCUCGCUCUCUCAUAGGUGGGUGACUGUGAGCAAGCACCUAAAUUUUUGCGACCUUUAAUUUCUUUGUGUUUACGACGACACCUUCUUUAACAUUUAUGGGCUAUUCUCGUCUUGCCAAGGGGAAACUGAGGCUCGGAGCUAAGCAUUCACUCUCUUCGUUCUUUGUGGAGGAUGAUGUAUUGGGAAGGUAGUGGAGAAAGCCUUUGAGUGAUGGUGAAUGGGUACCACUCUUCUACAAUGGCCAGGAAGCACUGCUGAAGGCCAAAGGCAAGGAAGGGGCUGGAGAGAAGACUCAGCGGUGCAAAGCGCUGACCUUUCUUCCAGAGGACCAGAGUUCAGUUCCCAACGUUCACAGUCGGCGGUCCAAGACCACCUGUACCCGCAGCACCAGGGCUGCAAUAUCCUCCUCAGGCCUCCAUGGGCCCCUGUCUCAUGUGCCAUGUCUUCUCACAGACACAUACACAUGCAUGUAGAUAAACAUGAUAAAAAUGAAGGAUCUGUAAAAGGAAAGAAAGAAAGUGUAAUAGAGCAGAGAGUGAAAGCGCCACACUUUAGGAUGCUCCACUCUGAACUCUCAAGUCCAGGACACAUGACAUUCACAGUGUAAAGUAUCAGGAUCAUCGGGAGGCCCAUGGCCAGGGACUUGGUCCUUAACGAGAACCUCAUGAAGAUUCAACUUAGAGAUGGAGGUCGGAAGGAAACCCAGAAGAAACAAUGAAGCCAGGUACACUUCCUCCCAAAGAAAGGAGCCUUCCUUUCCCACAUACAUGUGUGGACAGGGUGAGGGGAAGGAGCAGUUCCUGGAAUCAACACGAGUAGAGCUGAUAAUUUUGGCCUUGGGUAAGCAUGACCACUCUCCCUGGCCAGGGGUCGUAAUAGCUGGAAGAAGAAAACAUCUCUUAGUGGACCCAACCCCCAAUGGUUGAACCAACUACAGAAGCUUCAAGGACAAGAGACCCAAGCAAACAAUGCAUGAAGGUCAAAGAAGAGUCAGAAGGUCAUGUUAGGAGUAGGAUCCCAAGAUAUCCUUUGGAUUCUUGAGAGGAAAGAUAGACUAUGUCUUUAGGGACAUUUGACCUUCCCUAAUUAUCAUACAUCAAGGGGAGGGUUACAUUUGUGUCUGUCUUUGCCAGUUAUGUGUUUCUGUAACAAAAUAGCUGAGGCUCAGAAGUCUUUGAAACACAGAAGCCUAUCUAGCUCAUAGUUCUGGUUGCUGGAAGGCCCAGAAAGUGUGGGGUAGCUUGUACCCCACGCAUCACAGCAGGGCCAAGAAGCAGAUGGGAAAUGAGCAUGCGCAGCUGAGUCACAUGAUGAGCAAGAAAGCAAAGAGUCUGGGGAGGAGUCAAACGUACUCUUUUUAUAGCAACUACUCUCACAGAUGCUAAUUAGCGCCUACCACAUCUGACCUACAUCUAUAACACAACAGCCAUCCAUUCAUAAGCUCCCACAACCUAAUGACUGUGUAUUGAGCUUCUUAAAGGUUUGAUUCCUUCCCGCUCCUAUGCUGGGGACCAGGUGACGAACGCACGAGUCUAUGGGGACAAACCUCAUCAAUCCAUAGCAAGGUCUCUCUGUAUAUUGCCUGUUUAGUACUUAAAGGUCAGUUUCAAGAAGCAAGACAUUAAUCUUCUCUCCAAAUCAAUAAAGGCUCGGUGAUUGGAUUGUUAAUCGCUAGUCUCAGGAAAUCAAGAAUUAAAACUUCAAUCUCCUUGAACCCGAUGGGGUAGCAGCCAGGUCCCCUUUCACAAAUGAAUGAUCUACUCUACCAACUGUUGUUGGCUUAAGGUAGGUAAGAUCACUUUUGAUGAAUAGAAAGCCCCCUCCGUGACCAUCUCUCCUUUAUCUGGGAUCCAGGAAAUCCAAUGACGUCAGAAUGACCCAUUCCCCUGGCCUCCACAAGGGGUAGUAGUUCUGAAGCCCAGAUCCAGAGCGCUUUUGAGAUUGGCCUUAAUACCGCACUGGAAUGCUUCACUGCCCCAUCUGCGUCUGACUCCCCCUUUCCUCCGGUGUCCUAACUGACACAUCUGGCAGGUCUUGAAUCUUAACGCCUGGCACCCACCUGCCGCAGAUGUUAGACGCUCCCCUCUGAGCAAUGCUUAUAAACAAGACUGCAACUGAGAGUUUCCAAGCAGUAAUAAGCAACAUCUGUACUUCUGUACUGUUGUAUGCUCCACCCAACACUCCUACGCUCAUUUAACUCUUCAGCCAUCUGAAGAGGUUGGCAGGCAGAGGACAGUGGCCUUGUCUGGCUUAUUUCACAAAUGCAAGAUCUCCACCAUGAAUCGGUCUCCAGAAAGAAAAAAAAAUCCUAAGACAAUGAUGUGAAUGGAGACAGGUCACUGGGAGUCAUCGUUGGGGAGUCUAACAAGGAAAGGACAGUGGCUGUAAGUUACGACCAACCUCUCAGGAGUGACUCUCUGCCAGCCUGGCUGCUAAAUCACGGACACCAGCGUAAUUGAAACAGAAAAUCACGCCCGGCAGAACAGCCUAGCAACACCACUAUUAGCAGCUGUGGCUCUCCACUUCGAACCAGGGAGCUAAUACGCCUCUUUAUGCAUGCGCAGGCACUGCCAGAUAUAUAUCUUCACCAAUGUUUUCAUAGGGACUGGGCCUUCCCACUCCUUCCUGCCACCACGAAGCUGCUCACUCUGGGAAGACCGAACUUGUCUGUGGUACCUAAGGCUGCCCCACUGUGGGGCUGAUGCAAAACUCUUCUUCCCUCCCCCCUCCCUCCUUUCCUUCCUCCCUUCUUCCCCUUCUCGUCCAUCACUGAGCUUACGGUGGUGCUGAGGAAGCUGAAAACAGAGCAAUCACACAAACCUGGAGGUAAACUGCACCAAUUGCCCUAAUCAAGCAAGCUGCUCUCCAAAGGGAUCUGACACCUUGGAAUGAAGGAGGUCACGGUGAGAAAGGGAUAAAGAAACCAGGGUACAGGGAGAGAAGACUGUUCUACACGCCUACAGCUGGAACAAAGUUCUGGCCCAGGAGCUAGAGAAGCGCCUUGCUUUCCGAUGUGGACUUCUUCCUCAGCAGCCGCUGUGUGGGACAAAUACAAUCCAGAAACACAUUGAUUGGAUUCAGCUUGCCGGUGGUGAGUUUCCUUUGUGUUUUGUUUCUUUUCUGGGGUUUUUUGAACCUAUGUAUUCCUCUUUACCCUGGAGCCUCCCGCCCCAGAGUGAUCAAGCAACCUGUUGUCUGUCACUGUGGAGCUGGGGCCAGCUUGGUCUUCUUCCAGCUGUUGAUAACCCUUCCUCUCUGGUUCGCAGUGAACUUCUAUAACAUGGAGAAUUUAUGACUGAAAAUGCAGCUUGGCCCGAAUGCAGAGACCACUGACUUGGAAAGGAGAUUCACUAUCAUCGUGGCCAUUGUGAUUGUCACUGUCACUAACACAUUUUCAGAGCGGACCACAAGUACUUCUAAGCAAGAGCUCAGUUCAUCCCAUGACACAUUGAGGUCAUCCAUAGAGGAGGAAACUAAGGUUC